GGCCCCGUCGUCCGUACUCUUAGCUACAGUGAAUCGCCCGUCGGCCAUGACCAUCGCAGGCUCGCAGCCAGGCUGUAAAGCUAUAAACCUUCUCCUCCUCUUCUACAUGUUCCUCCUCAGUCCUCAUCGUCCUCCUUAGCUCCUCUAAGUCCUCUUCUGCUUCACCGACCACCGUCUUCGCCUUCGUCGUGACCAACAAGGGCCGAAGGGCGCCGACGAGCUGGCGAGGUUGUCUCCGGCCGGGGUUACAAGGAGUACCGCGACCGCGGCUACGGGCUACCGCGGCACCCCCUUCUGGCUCUUACCUCUUCUGAAGCCUUCAGAAGAGGUUCAACACUCGUUCACUCAACAACGAAAAAAACUGGGCGUCCGGUAAAUCUUGGGAGUUAGGUCUUUGUUUCUGGCUAAUUUGAAUCUUUUUUUUGUUCUAAAGAUUGCUUCUCGGGCUUUGAUAUCUAGUUUCUUUCUGGGUUUUGCCUUGCUUGGUGCUUUUCUCCACCGGCUUCGGAGCCGGCCGCUCACCCUCAACGCCUUUCCCUUUGUCCCCCUUAUUCCUCCGGAUCUCCUCCGCCAUCUUCUCCUCCGUCACGGUACUCUGUCCUCUGUGUAUUCGUCCCUGCGAACCCCCUGUUGUUUGCUGAAAUGCCACUGAAGUCGCACAGAUAUUAAAGCAGUAGCCCUCUGGUCGCACUAGGCGCGCUCUCCCCGAGGAUCCCGUUUGCUAUUACUCUAUAUUUUUUGCUUCUUCUUUGUUCGUUGAUUGAUUUUGGUUUAGGUGUCCUUUGGUGUUUAUAUCUUCAUGAUCGUGGUCUUUUUCCCUGGGUUCUAGUGAUUUAGUUUGGGUACGUGGAAGUGGGAUGGGCUAAUUUGGUUUGCGAUCAUGAGAUGAGGACUGGUUUUGAGUGCAUAAGGAUAAUGAGGUAUAAUCUUAGGGAGGAUUUAAUCCUUAGUAGCAUCUCAGGUUACUUUACAUCUUAUUUGGGUUUUGAUUGUGCUGAUGAUUGAGUGAAUUUCUGUUCCAUAUACAUGGUUUGAAUGUUUGGUUGGGAACUAGGAUACAACUGACUAUGAAGAACUAAGUAAUUUAUUUUUAAGUUAAUUUAACCAAGUAUUUGAUGUAUCUUGAGAAGUAGUUCCAUUGUCUUUUUUCUUUUGUGGGAAUAAACGGAAUUCUUUCAGUUGUUCAUCUGAACUUUUAAUCUUGAUAUGGAAAGUCUUGUUUUUCUGA